AUGAACGCUGGCGGCGUGCCUAAUACAUGCAAGUCGAGCGAACAGACGAGGAGCUUGCUCCUCUGACGUUAGCGGCGGACGGGUGAGUAACACGUGGAUAACCUACCUAUAAGACUGGGAUAACUUCGGGAAACCGGAGCUAAUACCGGAUAAUAUAUUGAACCGCAUGGUUCAAUAGUGAAAGACGGUUUUGCUGUCACUUAUAGAUGGAUCCGCGCCGCAUUAGCUAGUUGGUAAGGUAACGGCUUACCAAGGCAACGAUGCGUAGCCGACCUGAGAGGGUGAUCGGCCACACUGGAACUGAGACACGGUCCAGACUCCUACGGGAGGCAGCAGUAGGGAAUCUUCCGCAAUGGGCGAAAGCCUGACGGAGCAACGCCGCGUGAGUGAUGAAGGUCUUCGGAUCGUAAAACUCUGUUAUUAGGGAAGAACAAAUGUGUAAGUAACUAUGCACGUCUUGACGGUACCUAAUCAGAAAGCCACGGCUAACUACGUGCCAGCAGCCGCGGUAAUACGUAGGUGGCAA
rnacentral:rRNA from 1 species